rnacentral:rRNA from 1 species
GCGGUUUAAUUGGAUUCAACGCCGGAAAUCUUACCGGGACCGACAGCAAUAUGAAGGUCAGGCUGAAGACCUUACCGGAUUAGCUGAGAGGUGGUGCAUGGCCGUCGUCAGUUCGUACUGUGAAGCAUCCUGUUAAGUCAGGCAACGAGCGAGACCCACGUCCACAGUUGCCAGCAUACCCUCCGGGGUGAUGGGUACACUGUGGAGACCGCCGCUGCUAAAGCGGAGGAAGGAAUGGGCAACGGUAGGUCAGUAUGCCCCGAAUCUCCCGGGCUACACGCGGGCUACAAUGGUCAGGACAAUGGGUAUCGACACCGAGAGGUGGAGGCAAUCUCCUAAACCUGUCCUUAGUUCGGAUUGUGGGCUGCAACUCGCCCACAUGAAGCUGGAAUCCGUAGUAAUCGCGUUUCAAAAUAGCGCGGUGAAUAUGUCCCUGCUCCUU